UCCCCUGUUCAUUUAAUCUAUAAUGUGAAAAUUAAUUAUGCAAAAUUGCAACUGGUUACUGGAGAGAGAGAGAGAGAGAGAGAGAGAGAGAGAGAGAGAGAGAGAGAGAGAGAGCCAACAGGUCAGUGUCAAUAGCUGUAAAAGGACCAAAACCCGCCAUUAAAUACUCCAUCUAUGGCACAGUACUACUUCAUGAAGAAGAGGCCGAACCUCGAAGAGAGAGGUGCAUAAGCAUAAAGCAUGAAUAAGCAUUUAUAAAGAUGGGGAGGGCCGAGUCACGAGGCCGGUCCCCUCCAUAAGAUCAGAGUGCAUAUCCCGUGCCUUCUUUUGGCAAUCUUAAUGGAAGAGUGAAUUCAGUUUCCGGUGUUCCUUAAAGCUGCUUAAUUUCCAACAGAGGCCGGCCAUGAGAUGCUAUUCCUUAAUAUUUUUUCUCCGUUCGUCGAUCUCACGUACGUGUCUGCCUGGUAUAUGUUGGUUAAUUGAGAGGUUGAAGCUGCCAGCAUGAUCUGGUAAGAACCUAUAUAUCCCUCCGAGACUAUUCUAGGGCAAAUCUUGCACCGGAAAAUUUAGCUAUAUAUAUAUUUAUAUAGAUAGAUAGAUCAUCUCCAGCUUUAGAUCACCAAUUCUCUUUCUUGCUUCCAUUCUUUGAUAUAUAUUUGAGGGUAUAUUUAUAUAUAUAUAUAGAUAUACAGGCAUUUAGUUUAGUUUUUUUAAAGGGGUUUUAAUUCGAGUAAGCCAAAAGGGAUUCAAAUAACACACUAGAAAUUAGAUCUCAUUCCACUUCUGCUAGCUAGCUUCGUAGAUAUGGUUCCAAUAUCAGGUCAUCCUGCAGCUUCAAUCACUCACUUCCAACAAAGGGAAGAAGCUUUUGCAUUCAUGCUUAUAUAUCUGUGUAUAUAUGACCUCUUUUGAGGGUGCAUAUAUAUAUAAUUAAUGGUCCGUAGCCCGCAAAUGCAUUCCAGAUGAGAAGCUGUCUGAAGGGGAGCGCGCGGCUGGCUGCUACGUGUGUAUUUGCCUAUUUGCCUAUGAGAUGAAAGCAAGCUAGCUACUGUUUUUCGCCCAUGAGAUUUUGAUACAAAUACGCAAGUAAUUAUAGCUCUGAUUAUAUUUACAAAAAAAAAUUAGAGUUCUCAUUAUCAUGAAUUUGUGUGCUGAAACUGAAGAUUGUAUAGUGAUUAGUCAUUCGUGAUAUUUUCUACGCACUCAUGAGUACUACUGGACUGGUUCUGAUCAUCUUGUUGAGAAUCUAAAUCACCAGUACCAGAUCAUGAUGGUACGUACUGGAUAUAUAUAUGUAUCAAUCAGAAUAUUGUAGGGUCAUUAUUCAUUCAUUCUGGGUAUGCCCCUAAUUUGAUGCUA